AUUUAUCGAAUCUUGUAGGUUGAAAAUAUUCUCCAUGCCGUGGGCAGCUGCUGUGUGGUGAAGUCAGUGUUGUGAGAAGCUGCAAGUCUUCAGAAAUGUCAUUACCAGCAGCAACUCGCCAAAACAAUGUCUGCAAAGAUAAAAAUCUCAUUUGCAGUCUCCAGUCUUGUUGUAUUAGAGUAUGGAAGGAUGACAGUUCAACAAAUUGAACUGAGGAAGGAAUAUAAGGCAAGCUCCAGAAGUACUUCCAUCAUCAGAGAGGCCCUACCAGGUGUAUCUCAUAUCUUAUUGGAAAUCCCAAACUAGCAUGAACUAAAGCACUGCUGAGGAUCAUAGUGUCUGCCACAAAAAAAAGUCUGCUCAUACAGGAUAUACACAUGUACUGAAAUUUUUUCAAUUUCUUUAUUCGCUUUUUUCCAAAUUGAUGCAUGUGAAAUGAAAUGUCAAAUAGAAUUUUAGAUUUAUUUUAUUCAUGCCAUUUUCAACAAUAUUCAUUUGACAGUCUGGUUUUCCAUACAUUUGUAGCUCACUGCUGGAAUGAAACUGGUUAAAUACUUGUAAAUCAUAACAGUAUUCUAAAGAAAUAGGUCAGAAUUUUACUUAUCUUGUAAUACCAUAAAGGCUUUUGGUAAAAUUGUACAUCUUUCACCCAUAUUACUUUAUAUAAGAAUAAAAUUAAUUUUAUAUUGGCUUAUACUAGAUCAUUAAUAUUUUUAUUCAUGAUGAAAAGUAAAUACCUGUACUGAGUCUUUGAAUUAAAUUCAACUCAUUAUUAGCACAAUGUUUUUUACCCAUUGUAUAAAAUUACACCAGUCAAAUUUUAUCUACUAUUCUCAACAAGCUGACACCUUUAAAGCUCUUUGAAAUAUGUAAAUAAAUCUUAAGUAUAAUACAUGCUGAAGUUACCAUUUUAUAAACAGAAAAUAUAAUUUAAUCCAUUGUACAUUAAAGUUAUACUAUAACUUAAUUCACUGAACAUUACCAAUAUGUAUUUAUUUUAAGAAAACUUUAUUGAUUUAUAUCUUAAGUUUAAUAUGAAUAUCAUUAGUAAUUUUCAAUACAAUUAUUAACACCUUUUUGUAUUUAUAACUUUACUUCCACAAACAAUACAUGAACUGGUAAACAGUCGUGCUACUGCUUUUUAUUUUUUAUGGGAAUUCAGAAUGCAGUGCUGUACACACAUGUCUUGUCCAUAUUUUUUUUUAGCUUUACUAAAAGGAAUAUUAUGAGUAUAAAUUUUAAUUAAUUAUAUACUUUUUUUCAAUUACUUGGACAGUAAAAAUCCUGACAAAAUAUGCAUUUGUAACUUAAUUACACAUGAUAUUUGGGUUUUUUAGAUCUACAAAAAAUAGUUAUAAAGUAAAGAGAAUUUAAUGUGCCUCUCUCAAGUCUAGCAGAUACAUUCACAGCACACAUUUUAUUAAUAAAGAGUGAUUCACAGAUAUACUAAUCAGCAGCUAGCAGUAAUAAAAGGCCUCCCUUUCCUGUCCUAGAUAUAAAGUUCCAGACUAAAAAAAAAUUGUCAUGCAAAUCUGUAUUUUAAGAUACCAUGUCAAAGCUGUAAUGAUUUAUGCAGAAUACCUGCACUUACAUAAUAUUAUUAAUUAAAAGUUUUCUGUAUGAAAUAAUUUUUUUUUAAUUUCAAACCUUCCAUAUGCCAUACAGUCAAAGCUGCCUGCAUGCAAUAUCUUUUAUUUGCCAAACAUGAUGAUAUUCCACACAUUUGGUUAUCUCAAGAUCUUCUACACUAUACAUUAUUAGCCAGUUUAUAUAUACAAUAUUACAAAUGAAAAUUCAAUUUUUUAAAUAAGGCAUAUUAUGUUACAUGUGUACUGUAAAUGAUUCCUACAUAUAAUACUUGUACUAAAAAUCAUAUCCUAGUACAGUGGAACCUCGGUAUUCGAAUGAUUUGUUCAGUAAACAAAUCGCCUGGCACAUGACUUGCCAGAACUUAACUUUAAACUAUUUCAUGUUUCUUUGCAUUUUUGUUUUUAUAAUCAAAAAGAAGUGCUAAGUAUUACUUGUAUAAAUAAGUCACCAUGAGGGCUAGUGAUAACCAACCAAAAAGAAAAUUGGUUGGGAAAAAUUUUAUUUGUGUACUUGAACAGUCUUCUGGAACCAAUUAAGUUCGAGUGUCGAAGUUCCACUGUAUCUGUUAACUUCUUUGUUCUCACAAUUUCACUUUAGUAAUGGUAAAAGUACUGAUAUGGUAUAUGUUAAAAAUUCCAAUAUAUUAUUGUCAUAUUAUAGUACAGUACUGUAGUCUCCAAGCCUUUACUUGACAACAAUUAACAUAAAUGAUAACAUCAUGCUCUUAUUUUCUACUAACUUGUUAAAAUUUGCAAACUUUUUCACACACAUUAAAUAUAAAUUAAUGUGAUUUUAUAGAAAUGACCAUUCACAGGGUCUACUUACUAAAAUCUUUCACCACUAUGAGUUAGUGUCAAACCGAAUAGCAUGUCAUUUAUCAGCAAUCACAGUAUCAAAUUAGUUACACUGGUCAGCCUGGAUCUUCCUUGAACUAGAAUGAAAAUCUAUUUUAUUUGAAGAAAAGAAACAUUACAGAGGAUGUUUUUAUGAAAACAAUGCUUUGCUCUCAGUAAAAUGUUCUCCAAAUAAAGUAACAGCUUGAUCUGCAUUGUUGUUGGCAGAAUGCCAUAUGCAUCUGUCUACUAUUUCUGGUGAAUUACAGUAU